CGCGGAGCCGCCGUGAGGGGCGCGCUGCGGGAGCGCUCCUACUCAGCGGGGCAGGACGGCCCUGAGGUCUCGACGGGAGCUCUCGGCGUGUUCGCCGUGCAAGCCGCUGAGUGAGCUGCCGCCUGCACACUUGGGGAGGGAAACUUGAAAAGCUUGACAGGGAGAGAGGUGAGGGAGUGAGGCAGUGCACUCUGAACAUGACAUGAUGGGACUGCAUCUUGUUUAGGGGAAGGGUAUGGACUGCUCUGCAGGACUGUCACCAGAUAGUGAUCUUCGUCAAGAAGAGAGACCCCAAGAUCUGGAAAGAUAUUCAUCUGUGAUGCCUUCAUCCAUUUUUCAAAGAGUUGGAUCCCAGUGACUCAACUGAGCAGAUCAUUGGCAGGCGAAUUGGAGCCCUGUUUACAGAGACAACCUGGAGACGGAGGAGGUCUAAGAACUAAGUUAGAGGAGAAGAAAACAUGCUUAGAUAAUGUGCUGCACACUGGUGGGAGUGAUGGAGGAGAGAGAUGAGCAGAGAAAAGAAAGCUCAGUUUGGACACAUCUCUGAGGAGUCAGAGCAGAGCUGCCUGCAUUGGAAAUGGGUGUGAUGUCUGCAGCACAGUGGUUCCUCUUUCCUUCCCUGCUGGAUUGACAGGCUCAGCUGGUACACUUGAAAUUGGCGUAAAUUCCUCUGACUUUGUACAGCAGCUAGUGGCACCAUGGAUUAUUCAGUCAACAUUAACCCAACAACUUUAUUGCCAUAGCAUGAAGAAAAAAAGAACUAUCUUUGUUAGUAAAUAAUUAAAAUUUCUUUUGUCAGUAAAUUGAGGAAGCAUGAAUUGAAGAAAUAAAAACAUUUUUUUCCCCA
rnacentral:lncRNA from 1 species